GAUGAACGCUAGCGGCAGGCUUAACACAUGCAAGUCGAGGGGCAGCACGGGUAGCAAUACCUGGUGGCGACCGGCGCAAGGGUGCGUAACGCGUGAGCAACAUGCCCUAUACAGGGGGAUAAUCCAGGGAAACUUGGUCUAAUAUCCCAUAGCAUCUAGAGGAGGCAUCUUCACUAAAUUAAAGCUUCGGUGGUAUAGGAUUGGCUCGCGUGACAUUAGCUAGAUGGUGAGGUAACGGCCCACCAUGGCUAUGAUGUCUAGGGGUUCUGAGAGGAAGACCCCCCACACUGGGACUGAGACACGGCCCAGACUCCUACGGGAGGCAGCAGUGAGGAAUAUUGGUCAAUGGGCGGAAGCCUGAACCAGCCAUGCCGCGUGCAGGAUGACGGCCCUACGGGUUGUAAAGCGCUUUUUAAAGGGAUGAGGAAGGACAGUACCUUUAGAAUAAGCCUCGGCUAACUACGUG
rnacentral:rRNA from 1 species